UACGUAGGGGGCGAGCGUUGUCCGGAUUUAUUGGGCGUAAAGAGCUCGUAGGCGGUUUGGUAAGUUGGAUGUGAAAUCUCCAGGCUCAACUUGGAGGGGUCAUUCGAUACUGCCAUGACUAGAGUUCGGUAGGGGAGUGUGGAAUUCCUGGUGGAGCGGUGAAAUGCGCAGAUAUCAGGAGGAACACCGAUGGCGAAGGCAGGUCUCUGGGCCACUACUGACGCUGAGAAGCGAAAGCAUGGGGAGCGAACAGG
rnacentral:rRNA from 1 species